rnacentral:misc_RNA from 1 species
GAUGAAGAACGCAGUGAAAUGCGAUAAGUAAUGUGAAUUGCAGAAUUCAGUGAAUCAUCGAAUCUUUGAACGCACAUUGCGCCCCCUGGUAUUCCGGGGGGCAUGCCUGUUCGAGCGUCAUUUCACCACUCAAGCCUCGCUUGGUAUUGGGCAACGCGGUCCGCCGCGUGCCUCAAAUCGACCGGCUGGGUCUUCUGUCCCCUAAGCGUUGUGGAACCUUUCGCUAAAGGGUGUUCGGGAGGCUACGCCGUAAAACAACCCCAUUUCUAAGGUUGACCUCGGAUCAGGUAGGGAUACCCGCUGAACUUAAGCAUAUCAAUAAGCGGAGGA